rnacentral:SRP_RNA from 1 species
UCCACGAGCCAUGCCAGGCCUGGAAAGGAGUAGACAGGUUCGAGGUUUCCCAGGUCCGCCAGAGACGCCAAGAUCCAGGCCGCGGCUUG